UGCCGGAAAGGGUGACAAUGGGCCCCCGCGUGAGCGAUGAAGUCUUUCGGGAUGUAAAGCUCUGUCAGCCGGGAAGAAUAUCCGCAUAUGAACAAUAUGCGGAGGCGACGGUACAGGCAGAGGAAGCCACGGCUAACUCCGUGCCAGCAGCCGCGGUAAUACGGGGGGGAGCAAAGCGUUGUUCGGAUUUAUUGGGUGUAAAGGGUAUGUAGGUGUUCUACUAAGUCGAGCGUGAAAUCCCAUGGCUCAACCAUGGACAUGCGUCGGAUACUGGUAGAAUUGAGUAUGGAAGAGGAGAGUGGAAUUCCCGGUGUAAGGGUGAAAUCUGUAGAUAUCGGGAGGAACACCAGUGGCGAAAGCGGCUCUCUGGUCCAAUACCGACACUGAAAUACGAAAGCCAGGGGAGCAAACAGGAUUAGAUACCCUGGUAGUCCUUGCAGUAAACGAUGGGCACUAAGUAGAGGGG
rnacentral:rRNA from 1 species